UGCCCAGCAACUCCUAUCCCUACCUCCUCGUGGUACUGGCCGGGGUACGAGUAACCUUGGGGAAGAUCGGGUAACCAACCCCCGGUGGGAACUUGGGUCGUAUGCUGACAGGGAAGG
rfam:Aedes aegypti strain Liverpool supercont1.783 genomic scaffold, whole genome shotgun sequence.